CCCACUGACACCCCAGCCCCACCCGACCCAUUUGCAUAAUCUAGACCAACGAUCAUCUGCAGCUGCCCCCUGGGUCUCUGGUGGCUGGUCACAGGGGCCAGUGGGGAGGGAGCCCCGGAUCCCACGGAGCCCUGCGCAAGCGCUCUGAUCCGCCUCGCCUCAGGGGGCAGAGAGGCUGCUCACGCCACCCCCUCCCCGUGGUGAUCUCGCCUCUCAUGGCCUCCACGGCUGGAGAGGGGGGUGUGGCAGUGCCCACAGCCAGGGCCACCCGCCAGGCACCGAACAUCAAGCACGCCACGGAUCAGCCAACACUCACAGCUGCCGCCACCGUAGCCUUGGACCAGAUGGACUGCUAGGUCGGUCCUGGCGCAGAGCACGUGUGGGAAGAGAAAGCAAUGCAGGCAAGACCCAGAAAGCAGGCUGUCGGUGCCAUCACUCACAGCAUCGUUUUACAGAGAAGAGGCUCAGAGGUGAUCUGACUUCCCCAGGCGAGGCCGGAGCUGGGGCUCACAGCCGCCUUUGUGUGAGUUAGAAGAGGCUGCACCUCUGGGAAGACGCAGCCUCCCACCAGGAGACACGACCUGGCGAGGAGCGUUUUCUUGGCAGGCGCCCCGUUCUGCCUCUGAGAUCUCACGGCCAGUGGGCGGUACCGCCGGGCCCUGGGGAGCCAGCCGUGCCCUCCUUCCCACACGACACCAACUUUCUCCGCCAGCAAAGGUCUCACGGCGGGAGGUCACCUUAAUGGACCUGUUGGCAAACUCUACCAACCAAAAUCAGUGUUUCUAGUCAGAGAAGGGAGACUGGAAGAGUCCUUGUGGAACAGCGAGCAAGCCAAGCGCCCAGCAGGGCUGGGGCGCUGGAGCCAAGGGCCUGAUCACGCUUGAUGGAAGGGACAGAGGUGGACGCUGGUCCUGCACCCGUGGGGAGUGGGGCAUGGGAGCAGCGUGUGGAAGUGACGUCAGUUUUGGUUGGCCCAUGUGAGUCCUGUUUUUCUAGCACUUGCAAUGUUCCAAGGAAAAGGAUAAAUGUUGGUCGGAGCUACCCCAAGGAUGUAUGGGUGUAAAAUACUAAGGGGAACAUUUAAGAAAAAGUUUCUAAUAAGAUCCAUUGAGAAGUGGAAGGGGCUGCCUUAAAUGUAGUGAUGGCCCCGUUGCGGGCCGGCCACCGGUUUAAGUCACGUCAGUGUGGAUUUGCAUAAGGUUAGGGGACUUUCCAGUGGUGAAACUCAAGGAUUAUGAUUUAACAAACCCAUUUAGGUUAUUGCACUGAGGCACUGCCUCAAAAUUCCUUGCCAUGCAAAUAAGAAUCACCUCACUGAACGGGGCCAGGCCCCUGAAGAAGGAAGUGAAGGAUGGCUGGAGGGAGGGGUGCCCCAGGCGCAUCUGGGGAAGCCAGGGUUCCAGGAGAGCCCCCGCCAGCUGCCAUCCCAAGCUGACUGCGUGUCGCUCUGGGAACCUGCGCAGGUCCUUGGCCUGGCCGGCCCCUCUCCCAGCUGUUUCCCCGACCACCUUGGACCCUGGGGAACGUGGGAAAGCCUGGAGCAGAAGAGGAAGAGCCGGGUGUGUGUGUGUGUGUGUGUGUGUGUGUGUGUGUGUGUGGGUGCGUGCGCGCGCACCCCAAGCACCCCAGCUUGUCUAUACUGUUACAAUCGGGACGCACUUCUGCACCAGCCGGCAGAGCUGCUCCCACCCUGGCCCCCAAAUUGUGACAGCCCAACACAGGCCGUGCCCAGUGUACGUAGGUUGAAUUUAUAUGCAUAAAUAUCAUGGAUGGAUGAAAAAUACGCACAGCACAACUAUGCCCUUGGGUUCCUUGGGGCUCCUCCAUCCCCGAAGCCACUCAAAACUGCCAGGCCACCCUUGAAGUCUCCUGUAGCAGUGAGGGUGGGAGCUGGGCCCUGGGGCCUUCACGGAGAGAAUCGCCGGGUUAAUAUUUGUCAAAUAUGCUGGUGCUGGUUUUUUCUAUAAAGUGGCUUUGGUUUCCAUUUACAUUUCAGGGAGAGGCUGCAAAAUGAUAAGUAAAAAAAUCACUAUCUCAUGAUUAAUUUGCGUGUCUUUAUAUUGAAAAUAAAGUUAACUUUUUGGGCUGGGGCUCUUCCUAUCUAGUUUG